rnacentral:rRNA from 1 species
CCCUUAGAUGGUCUGGGCGGCACGCGCGCUACAAUGAUGCAUUCAAAAAGUCUUCUGACCCUAGAAGGUUGGGUAUUCUCCAAAGUGCAUCGUGAUGGGAAUAGUUUAUUGCAAUUUUUAAUCUUGAACGAGGAAUUCCUAGUAAGUACAGGUCAUCAACUUGUGUUGAUUACGUCCCUGCCCUUUGUACACACCGCCCGUCGCUCCUACCGAUUGAGUGUCUCGGUGAAUUCUUUGAUCUUCUGUCGAUUCAGUUCACUGAUCCGACGGUGGAAAGUUGAAUGAACUUCGUCACUUAGAGGAAGGAGAAGUCAUAACA